UACGUAGGGUGCGAGCGUUAAUCGGAAUUACUGGGCGUAAAGCGUGCGCAGGCGGUUCGUUAAGUUCGUUGUGAAAGCCCCGGGCUCAACCUGGGAACUGCAAUGGAAACUGGCGGGCUUGAAUGCGGCAGAGGGGGGUGGAAUUCCGCGUGUAGCAGUGAAAUGCGUAGAGAUGCGGAAGAACACCGAUGGCGAAGGCAGCCCCCUGGGCCGUAGCUGACACUGAGGCGCGACAGCGUGGGGAGCAAACAGG
rnacentral:rRNA from 1 species